rnacentral:lncRNA from 10 species
GGGAUCUCUGCCUAUAGUGCCCGUGAAGGGAAAGUGGAAGGCAAGGAGAGCUCAGAGUGUGAAGAAAUGUGGAGAGAAGGAAUGAAUAAACAAACGAAUAGAUCUAUGAAUGGAUAAUAUAUUCAUUUCCAUCGGAAUACAUCGUCUUCAACGACAGGUGACCAACCCACUAGCCUCCCUGAGGGUGAGAUCUGGGCCAUGUGACUAGUUCUGCAAAUAGGAUACGGACAGAAGGAGCAGAGACACUUCCAGAUCUGGCCUCUCAAGACACCCCAUCCUCCAAACCUUCCCCUGCCUUCCCACCUGGAGACAACUGGCCCAACUGUGUAACUACAAAAUGGUGGAAGCUGUCAGAUCUGUAUCAGACCAGAAUUUGAGGAAGAAAUAUAGAUAUCUUUGUUGUAUGAAACCACCGAGACUUCAGGAGUCUGUGUUUUGUUGCUGCCUGCACUGAUAAUCCUGAAUAUAGACUGUCUUCUGGCUACAUCACUGAAUUCGUAUUCAGGUACUGUAUCUUGCAGUUUGGCCAAUCUGGUCCAUGAUUUUGAAGUCCUGGAAGCAACCAUCUUUACUAUAUCCAAGAAGUAGUAUUCUCAAAGUUGGUAUUAAUGGGAGAGAAAACUCCAUUAAAUGCUUAGUUAAAUGCAUUAUGCAUUACUGACUAUAUGUCCAAAGCAGUGAGCUGAAAAUUGGGGUAAACACCAGAAAAGUACAAAUCAUAUUCAAGGAAGUGACCUGAGAGGCAAGGAGCAUUUCCAGAUAAAGCAGUUAAAUAACAAUGGUUCUCAUAAAGAAAUGCAGAAUAUGGGAAGACCAGUGUGGGUUGGAUGUACCUAAUGAUUCUUCAGGUGUAGAGGGCCUUGGAGGUCAGGUGUCAUGGGCUGAAUUGUGCUCUCCUCCCCCAAAUUCAUCUGUUGAAGCCCUAACCUUUGGCAUCUCAGACUGUGACUGAAUUUGGAGAUAGGGAAUUUAAAGGGGUAGUUAGUUAAAAUGAGGUCAUUAGGGUGAGCUCUAAUUGAUAUGACUAGCGUCCUAAUAAAAAGAGGAAAUUAGGACAUAAACACACACAAUGGAAAAUCAUUCAAAAACACAGGGAGAAGAUGGCCACCAACAAGCUAAAGAGGCUGGGCCUGGUGGCUCACGCCUGUAAUCCCAGCACUUUGGGAGGCUGAGGUGGGCGGACCGCUUGAGCCCAGGAGUUCAAGACCAGACUGGUCAACUGGCAAAACCUGAUCUCUACCAAAAAUACAAAACAAAAUUAGCUGGCCAUGGUGGCUUGUGCCUGUUGUCCUAGCUACUCAGGAGGCUGAGGAGGAAGGAUUGCUUGAGGCCAAGAGGCAAAGAUUGCAGUAAGCAGAGAUCACAUCACUGCACUCCAGCAUGGGCAACAGAGUAAGACCCUGUUUCAAAAAAAAAGAAAGAAAGAAAAAGAAACCUACCCUGCUGAUACCUCAAUCUCAAACUUUUAGUAUUCAGAACUGUGAGAAAAUAAAUUCCUGUUGUUUACGACCCCCCAGCCUGUGAUACUCUGCUGUGUGGUAGCACUCGCAAACUCACGCAGGCACAAGUUUCUCCAGAGAAAGAAUGGGACAGUAGUUUACGCAGUAUUAUUUCACUGAACUAAAGCACAGUGGGGAGAAUAAACAUCAUAAAUUUGGAAGAAAGUAGGGAGAAUAUCUUCCCUGAAGAUAUUGAGAAUUAUAAUUGGAAGGAUAACUUGGAGUAAUAUUUGUGAGGGUCUUUAUUCCCUGAUUGAGAAAUUUUGAUAUUAUUCUACAAGUGAUUUGAAGACUGCAGUACAUAACAGUUUAAGAAUAUGACUUCAAAAUCUCCAGGGUGGCGUCCAAACAUUAGUAUUUUUAACAAGCUUCCAGGUGAUUCUGAGAGACCAUCAGUAAAUUUGAGAACCAUGGGUAUAAGCAGUUGGGAAUUCCUAAAAGGAUUGCAUAGGCAUUUUGCUGUAUGGGUGAUAGAUAAAGAGGCAGGGGGCAUGCAGAUAUUCCACAGCAGAGCACUCCUUUACCUCUGAUCUAGUCCUACCCAGAAUAAUGGAAGCCUGUAACUAAUGGGACUCAAAAUAUUAAAUCCAGUGCCUCCUGGCAUGUAAAAGUUCACCUCCACUUAGUUAACAUUCAUUCUUAUUUCAAAUAGCAAGCUUGUUUUUCUUUCUAAAUUGUUUUAUUGUUUUUAAAUGUAUAUACAAAAAGUACCCCAAAAUAAAUAAAUAAUACUUGAAUUAUCACUAUCUUGUCAUAAGCAUUUUGUUGAACAUUCCUUCUGUGAUCUAUCUGUGCAUCUACUCGUAUUGUAUAAGCAUACAGUUCACAUAAAUGUUACGAUGCUAAUUGUGCUCUCUUAAUCUAUAAUCCACUUCUCCACUCAAAAGUAGAUUGCAAAAAUACCUCCAAAUCUUUAUUUUAUAUCUUCAUCAAAAUAUUCCAUUGUUUAGAUGUUUUCUAAUUAUUUAGCCAGACCUCAACUAAUAAACACAUAAAUCACUCUGCAUUUUUGACCCUUAAAAACAACACUGACUUGGGGUCACAGGGGAGAAGAGUGAUAGCUAACAUGUACAGGGUUUCUUUUUGAGGUGGUGAAAUGUUCUAAAACUGACUAUGGUGAUGGUUGCACAUAUCUGUGAAAAUACUACAAACCACUGAAUUAUAUACUUGAUAUGGGUAAACUGUAUGGCAUGUGAAUUAUAUCUCAAUAAAGCUGUUUAUAAAAAAGACAUCCCUUGCCCUCUCUCACCACUCCAAUUCAACAUAGUAUUGGAAGUUCUGGACAGACCAAUCAGGCAAGAGAAAGAAAUAAAUGGUAUUCAAAUAAAAAGAAAGGAAGUCAAAUUAUCUUUAUUUGCAGAUGACAUGAUCCUAUAUAUAGAAAACCCCAUUGUCUCAUCCCAAAUGCUUCUUAAGCUGUAAGCAACUUCAGCCAAUCCCCAGGAUUCAAAAUCAAUGUGCAAAAAACUACUAGCACUCCUAUACACCAACAGGCAAGCAGAGAGCCAAAUCAUGAAUUAACUGCUAUUCACAAUUGCUACAAAAAGAAUAAAAUACCUAGGAA